CGCGGCCUAUCAGCUUGUUGGUGAGGUAAAGGCCUACCAAGGCAAAGAUGCCUAGCUGGUGUGAGAGCAUGACCAGCGCCACUGGGGCUGAGACACUGCCCAGACUCCUACGGGAGGCUGCAGUCGGGAAUCUUCCGCAAUGGGCGCAAGCCUGACGGAGCGACGCCGCGUGUGCGAUGAAGGCCUCCGGGUUGUAAAGCACUGUCGAGGGGGAGAAAGGGAAACUUGAUCGACCCCUGGAGGAAGCACGGGCUAAGUUCGUGCCAGCAGCCGCGGUAAGACGAACCGUGCAAACGUUGUUCGGAAUCACUGGGCUUAAAGGGCGCGUAGGCGGUCGGCCAAGUCAGGGGUGAAAGCCUUCGGCUCAACCGGAGAAGUGCCUUUGAUACUGGCUGGCUAGAGGGAGGUAGGGGUGUGUGGAACUUCCAGUGGAGCGGUGAAAUGCGUUGAUAUUGGAAGGAACGCCGGUGGCGAAAGCGACGCACUGGACCUCUUCUGACGCUGAGGCGCGAAAGCUAGGGGAGCAAACGGGAUUAGAUACCCCGGUAGUCCUAGCCCUAAACGAUGGGUACUAGGUUGUGGGCUUGACAUGGGUUCACAGCCGAAGCAAAAGUGGUAAGUACCCCGCCUGGGGAGUACGG
rnacentral:rRNA from 1 species